GGUUUCUGGUCCUCAUACCGUGUGGUUGAGUGAAAUCAAAACUUCCACGAUAGCAAUGCUGAUUGGACAAAGAAUGUGUUGUGGACACAAAACCAAACUCUGGAGGACAGAGGAUUCAUUCCAAGGGUCUGCUUGUAUUCAAUGACUGGUCUACGUGGGGGUGUGAAGUCCCCUUACUCCACCUGUGAAGAGUCUUCCCAGUUUCAGACCACCCUCCCAGCCUCCUGUUAUUGGCUAAGGCCAUUUUGUGACUACACUGCAGGUAGAGAUGGAUUCCUGGAAAUACCUCCUCAAGGCCAGUGUAGAGCCCUCAAUCACCCACUGCCCCCAGCUUCUCCUUCUCCCAUCUCCUGCACCAAGCAGGUCUCCAGGUGUUCCAGCUGCUGAUGACGUAAAGUGUGGAGUUGGUCCAGGAAGGUCAUGUUCCAUGCAGCAGAGGAGCGCUUUGUGUGAGAAGUUGAAGACCUGCUGUAACACAUCAUAGAGGAAAGACAUAGCCUGGGCCUUCUGCAACUGGCUGACUUCCACCUUCUCCUGGGGGAAUCUGAAGUCACUUCUGUCCUUUAGACACAAGAAGGGAGAGAUUCUCCUCAUUUGGCCCAAAAGCACCAAGGUGUUC
rnacentral:lncRNA from 10 species